CUACUGUGCCAUGUAGGGGGGCAGACAAUGGAAUUAUUAUGGAUGGAUGAUGGAUGGAUGGAUGGAUGGAUGGAUGGAUGGAUAGAUGGAUGGAUGAUGGAUGGAUGGAUGGAUGAUGGAUGGAUGGAUGAUGGAUGGAUGGAUGAUGGAUGGAUGGAUGGAUGAUGGAUGGAUGGAUGGAUGUCAAGUCUGAUGCUUUUCAACACUGUUGCUAAUCUUUAACUC
rnacentral:lncRNA from 1 species